rnacentral:lncRNA from 1 species
CCACGGAGCUGUCUCCUUCCAGUCUACCGGCCAAUGACACCAUAGAGCCUGUGACUCAGCGGCCCGACUGCCCGGCUGCACUCCUGAGACAUCCCCGCCUGCUCAGGCGACUCCCAAGACCCUGAGAGACCUGGAUACUGAAGGGGAGGAGGCAGGAAGCCAGGAAACACCACAGAUGAAGUGAAGAAAAGCAAAGCUAUUGUCCUUAUCUACCCACUGAUAACCAAUAGUGAGGGAUGGGGAGAGGCAGCUGCUAGGUGGGAUUCUGGAGACAACAUGACUUCAACUGAGGGGCAGAGCGUGGCGGCUGCACUUUUGUUUCCAGCUUUAUGAAUCCCAGUGCUGUUCCCAGUCUUUGGAAAUUGAAGGACCUCUUAAUAUCACUCGUUUUGCGGCCUUUUACAUGAAUGAAAACAAAUCUUAUGAUAUGUUGCUUUUCAAAAACGGCUAUUUUGAAUCUGGUUGACACUUUCAGUGAAUUCGCUUUUUCUUUUCAUAACUGCAGCUGCAUGCGUGGGAAAACAGUAGGCAUAUGUAGUUGGAAGAUAGUAGCACAGCCCUUUCUCAUCUCUGUCCCAUCCCUGCAGGCUUCCAGGUGAGAAGUACGGGGCUUCACAAUUGAGAAUCAGAGUGAAAAGGAGAAACUGGCCUUUAUUGAUUAUCGACUAUUAUCAGUCAUUCUUGGAUAAGAAAGUCGCUGAUACAGAGUCCUGCCCUAACUUGGAAACUCUGCUCCACAACUAUCUGCAGAGGAGACAGCACUGAGAGGAAGCAUUUAAGCCGAAUACAUCCAAGUAGAUGUGGAUAAAAACCCAAGGAACUUUUCCUAAAAGUAAGGCACUCAUCCAGCUUUCCUGUUUGCUAACAUCAUCAUGCAAAACCCCGUGAGUUUUCAAAGGUUAUGGACCAGCCACUGCUUCUUUGUGAGGCGGGGAGACCUGCACCACGGCCACAUCAUCAAAUUCAAUGGCAUGUCCCAAGGCAACGCCUGUCCUUUCAGGCUGAAAGCUUCAUUUGUCUUCAGUUCUGCCGAGACCCCAGAGACAGAGCUGCUUUGACAGCCUCCCACUCUCUGAGGGGUCACCUGUCGCCUUGCCCAGGUCAAGGGAGGUCAGCUUCUCAAUGGGAAUUUUUUAAAAAAGGAGGCAGGCACGGGUCUGUCCAUAAAAGGACCUCUUUGAGGUUGGUGGAAAAAAAAAUGCAAUGCAUUUUGUGUUCCCAGUUAGACCUUCUGGAACGAGGCCGCCUGAGAACAGGCCUGUGAACAGUUCCUACUGGAGGACGGCCAACAGAGGCCACCCAGACGUUUUUCACAGGACCUCUAGCUGCCUCUGCUAACCCAGAGGCAGACGAAAUUGGAGUCAGGGCGGCCACCUCCUGCCCCCGUCUCCCCACCCCCACCCCUGGGUGGCUGCUGAGCAGCACAGGAGUUUACUGAACCAGCUGCCUCCUGACAGGAUAAAGCAAUUUAGGGUCAAGGACAGGAAACCAGAUUUGCACAGGCAAGCACAGUGAAAAGCUGCCAUUCGCUGAUGACCAUAUGGAGCCUUCACUCUUCUUUUCCUCCCUUCUCUUCCACACACGACCUCCCACACAACAACCCUUUCACUCAAUAUACCUGCUGGAAGAGAGUUCAGUCACAUUUUGACACAAG